GAGAUUUAAUGCCUAAUUAAUUAUAAGUAUUAUAUAAGAACUGCAAUUUCUUGCACUCUGCAGCCAAUUUGAAAGGCUAAUCCUGAAAUUCUUUUGAAUCCAAUCAUUUAAAUUAGCAAAACUUUUCCACUAGUACAAUUUACCAAUUCCACAUUUCUACUUCUGUUGAGUCAUAAGGGUAAAACCAACAAAUAUUUUGCAUCUAGCUAGUAGCUACACCAAUAAUUCAUCUUUCUUCAUCUUCAUAUUUGUCUUCCUUGCUUAAAAUCUCACCUUCCAUCCAUAAAAUUGACAAUUUGCAAAAGUUGUGCUCUUCCUGCUCUCAUGACACUGAUCCAGAAUACAGAAAUGGUGAAAUUUUUCAAUUUUUCAUAAGCACAGUGAGAGUUUUCUGUGCUGUUAAUUUCCACUAAGUCUUCAUAUUUCUAGACUUGUAAGUUUGGUGUUGAGUCCAGUUCAUGGUAUGCAGCCUUGGACUUCAUUGCUAGUGAGGCUCUUGAAGUGGUGGAUGAGGUUUUGGGAGAGGAACUUCUAGUCUUCUUUUUCCAUUUUUGUUUCUUGGGAAUACUUGGAAGAUCUGACGAUAGAAUGUUACUGAACGAAUUGGACAAGGAUUGAUUUCCAAUAGAUUGAUCAAAAUCAUGAGAGGCCCAUGAAGAGAAAGCAAGAGAAUUAGGAUCUCUUGCAUUGCCGAGUGUUGUUGUUGCGAAAUCAGGAGGUGUUUUGAACUCAUUCAUCCAACUGGGUGCAGUACCAGAAGGGCCAUCCCAACCUAUGUGUGCCACAUGCUUGACGUCUGUUGGGUACCCAAUUUCCAUCUCUCUUUCCUUCACCACUGCAAAGAUUUGGGUUAUGUACUUGAAGCCCUUAUAGAUCCCUUUGAUCUUGGUGGCCAUGGUGGAAACAAAUGACACAGAAGAGGAGGAAAAUCCAAAAGUACGUGCAGAGAUGGUUGUUUUGCCUCUAGGGAAUGGCUGUGAUGGAGCAAAGAAAUGGGAGAUUUGAGAGAGAAACAAUAGCUUUUCUCUCUUCUUCAGGCAACUUUGCAAUGCUCUAUUCUCUAUGUUUCUUCUAUUAUUCUUGAUGAAUGCACGAACAUAAAAAUUUUCUACCUGUGAUUGAAAUGACUAGCUUAUUGAUUUGCACUAACAGAAAAAAGAGAACCCAUUAAGGUAAACCAAAAAACCUGCCAAUAUACUGAUGAGAAGAGAAGGAUCUAAAGAAGAGAUGAAAGAAGGUGGGGAGCCAUGAAAGGGAAAACAUGCCAAAGAGGGUUUUGAAAAACAAAAACAGAAAAUGGCAAGUUGAGAAUAAAAAUUAGGUGUUGGGUUUCUUGGUUGGUUAAGAGGUGCAGUAGGCCCUGACCUCAGUUCCUUUGAUGUCUUAACAAAGCCUCUUCUCUUUAAAAAAAUGGCAAGACUUUUCUUAAAAUGUGGGAGAAUUUUCAGGAGGGAGAGGCAAGAAAUUAAGAAUCAAGAGUCAUGCUUUGUGCAGUGUGUGACAUUAAAUAGAGGAACUAUAUAUGCCUGGUAAGUUGGCUUCUUCCUUCUUGGACUUAACUGUGUUUGGCU
rnacentral:misc_RNA from 1 species